CAGAAGCAGAGAUGGAUAAAAUCUCAUGCACUUGGUCAUUCUCUGUGUGUGUACAUAUAUGUGUGUAUGUAUGCAUAUAUGCAUGUUUGCACAUGUGUGUGUUUGACAUUGAGUCUCCCUCUGUCCCUCUCUAACACAUUGGUUGAGGCAGAGUCUCCCAACUUCAUGUCUUCUGUUUUGUUUUGUUUUGUUUUUUGUAGUCCACCAACUCCAGUAAGUGCUUCCCAUAUGCACAUGUGUGGGGUCAUCCUGUGGAGCAUGGGUAACAUACUGGUGGCCACCUCCAUGCGAAGAAGAGUGACUCAUUGCCUCAGCAUCCAUCAGCUGCUGUUAGCUUCUCAGCUAGGGGGAAGCCUGACUGGUACACUGGGAUGAAGCCGCCCACUGCCAAUCCAGAAGAACCACUGACUGUUUGACAAAUUGUUGGCUUUGCUAAAUGGGGCUUGUGUACUCAGGUGGGAAUGGCUGAUGGUGCUGAAUCAUUACUGCUCAGGCACACCCGGGACAUCCAUCACAGUGCUAAGAACUUGGACGUUAGGGGAGCAACAACCACGGAACUUCUGUGUGGAUCCACGGGGGCAGAGCUUUUAGUAUCUGUCUCAACCAUCAGCGUGCCGAGACAUUCAGGCUGGCCUACAGCCUGACAUGCAUAUGGGCAGGCAGCCCUAUAGCUAGGCAGACAGGCAGAUAGACAGGCAGGCUGAGAGAUAGGAAGACAGACAAGCAGACAGGCAGACAUUCGUGCACACAUGCAGGAAGGCAGACAGGGAGGCAGACAGGCCAACAGACAGACAGGUGGAGUAAUAUCAGUUCUUUAUAUGUCUCCUAUCCUAAUGAACCAAGCCGAGUUGUUAAGAGUUAAACUCUCCCAUGGUUCUUGCAAUCCCCCUAGAAUAGAGCUCUAAAAGGAGACAGACAGCUGUUUCUGAAAAACACGAGGCAACAAUCAGCCACUUUGCUUAGCACAGCACAGAGCUCUGGGGAGCACAAGCUGCUAUUCAAAUCAGUCCGAAAUUCUUCCUCUCUUUGAAGCCCUCACACUGGAAAGUAGGCUAGCGCCUUCAGAACCCUCUGUAAUUUACCUCUAAAGGGGCUCAGUGUUUGCUUUCUCUUCUGGGCUCUCUAGCCACCAGGGCGACACAAGCCUUCUCAUUGAGGGACUCAGAGCUUCAGAACGCUGGCCAUGCUUCUUCUAGACAGAGGAGCACUUCCGCUGUUCGUCCCAAGGUCAGGCUCCCAUCAGCUUCUCAGAGGCCCAGCCUGGGGCAGAUGCUGUGCCAAGCCUUGGCACACGGUAGAUGUUCUAGAAAUUCUCGAUCCUGUCAUCGUUGUGGUGAAGCUCACACUGGAGUAAAACAGCCUGGCCACAGUCCAGCAAUUACAAGCUAUUUGACCCCCAGAACAUCUCUGUGGCAACAGCUCCGUGUCCCUGGUACAUGGCUGGGCUGCCUCCUCUCACAGCCCUGUCUCGUGUCUACUCCCCACACGGUGCCUCUUCUGCCUGUAUCGUAUGCUUGCUCUGCCCUCCUCCCACGUGUCCUCCCCUGUUUUGACUGGACACGUGCUCACAGGUCCUACAAGACCUAGGUCAAAGAAAUUU